UGGGGAAUAUUGGACAAUGGGCGAAAGCCUGAUCCAGCCAUGCCGCGUGUGUGAAGAAGGCCUUUUGGUUGUAAAGCACUUUAAGUGGGGAGGAAAAGCUUAUGGUUAAUACCCAUAAGCCCUGACGUUACCCACAGAAUAAGCACCGGCUAACUCUGUGCCAGCAGCCGCGGUAAUACAGAGGGUGCAAGCGUUAAUCGGAAUUACUGGGCGUAAAGCGCGCGUAGGUGGUUAUUUAAGUCAGAUGUGAAAGCCCCGGGCUUAACCUGGGAACUGCAUCUGAUACUGGAUAACUAGAGUAGGUGAGAGGGGAGUAGAAUUCCAGGUGUAGCGGUGAAAUGCGUAGAGAUCUGGAGGAAUACCGAUGGCGAAGGCAGCUCUCUGGCAUCAUACUGACACUGAGGUGCGAAAGCGUGGGUAGCAAACAGGAUUAGAUACCCUGGUAGUCCACGCCGUAAACGAUGUCUACCAGUCGUUGGGUCUUUUAAAGACUUAGUGACGCAGUUAACGCAAUAAGUAGACCGCCUGGGGAGUACGGCCGCAAGGUUA
rnacentral:rRNA from 1 species